UCCCGUGCAAAUUUUUGCCGCGCUUCAGGAAAGAAAUCUAAUGAGACAUUCAUUCCUUUCGAAGAAUUUUCUCUUUAUUCUUCUUGGAUUUUCAGCGCUUUUCAAAUAGACUUUAAAUUUGUUUUUUGGGAACAUAUCUGACAAAUUCUUACAUGUUUAUCUACUAAAUGAUUAUCAAUGCCAACUCUUUCGUUAUGAAGAGCACAGCUCUGUUAUUCAUUCUCGGCUCUUUCAGUUAAAAUGCAGCAGUUGUAACCAUUAUCGCGAUGUUAAUAAGCGAGUUUUAUUAUUUUUUCUCCCAGCGGUCAGUCAGAUAAUGCAUUCAAAUAACAACGAUAUAUUUCAUGUAAACAAGCAAUUCAAAUAAGAUGAAUGUGUGUGUUGGCAUUUUACAGGCAAGGAUGUUUCAUCUACAGAUACUAAAUAUGCCACAUGUAUACCUCGGAAGACGAUGCUUUGAAAGUCAGGCCAGAAGAAGUAGAGGUAGAAGAGAUAUCAGUCUUAUCAGAAGAAACCGGUAAAAAUUUAAGGUGCAAAUAGUGUCUCUGAAUAUUCUUGCAUGGAAAGGACUUCCUUUUUUACUGAUUUGGAAUUCUCCAACUACGACGAAUUUAUGAAAUGGAAAUUAUCAUUUGAAAAAGAAGAUCAAAUUCAGUUCAUCAAACAAUGUGGUGUAUAGAAAAAGAAAAGAAAGUUUAGUGAUCUACAUUAUUUUUAUUGUUUUAGAAGUAGACAUUGUUGCAAAGAAGGACAUGGAAAAAAAGCAAGCCAAAGAUGUACAAAAAUAUAGUCUUUGUACAGCAGAAAUAAAAGCAGUCGUGCAAUUGCUAAAAUUUGUAACAAUCUUUUUGUCCAUGAAAGUUCCAUAUCUUUUUUUUUUUUUGCGCUUGACAUGAUCAGAAGAUAAUAAAAUCGCAAAUUUACUGAAGAUGAAAAUCUAUAUUUCUGUUAUCUUGGAACACUUACGAGAGAACAUGAUUGCAUCGGAAAAAAUCGAAAGAAUUCACCUGAGCAACAGACAAGAUAUAAAAAAAUAUACAACGAAGUUUUAGCUUGAGUGUAGAAAGGCAUAAAAACGGUGCAACGAGCGUUCGAUUGAUAAUCGAAGAGAUGGCUAAUUCAGGAUCUCAAAAUCCCGUUUUAGGAUUUAAAUUUCAAGGGUCAGUUCACACAGAAUAUCAAAACUUCCUAGAAGAAGACUUCUUUCUAGUAUUUCAGCAUCCUCUGCAGAAAGAAAUGUUCCCAAAAUAUGGUAACAAAGUGGUUUGCUUGAAUGCAACACAUGGGAUCAAUAUCUAUAAUUUUAAACUUAUUACAAUUUUAAUCGUGGAUGAGUUUGGAGAAGGUUUCCCAGCAACAUGGAGUUUAUCAAACCGAGAAGAUUUUCAUGCAUUUAGAAAUUUUCUUGAAAUUGGCGAAAGAAAUUUGUCUAAAAAACUGAUUUUUAUGAGCGAUGAUGCGUUGGCAUUUUAUAACGCAUGGAUUGAUAUUUUUGGCUCUUCUACUCAUAAAUUAUUACGUGCAUUUCAUUUUGAUAAAACAGUUAGAAAGCAAACAAACCAUUAGCAAGUAACAAAUUAAAAGCAUACGAAGUCGAUAAGGCAAUAGCAACAAUAUUUUCAGCAGCGAACGAACAGCAAGUUUUAGAAAUGUAUAGAAAUUUUAAAAACGAUUUAUUAGAUGACGGAGAAACUGAAAGAUUCUAUAAUUAUUUUGUUAAUAACUAUGACCACCGACUUAAAGAAAUUGCAGCAGGCUAUAAAAUGAAUUCAGUAGGAACGACUAAUAAUCAUUUAGAAUCAUUACAUAAAGUUUUUAAAUCUAACUAUCUUAAUGGUAAAUGCAAUAAAAAGGUUGGACCACUGCUUGUACAAGCUAAUGGAAGGCAUCAAAGGACGCCAAAGAAUUAUUAAAGUGGAAAGAGGAAAAAUCUCUUAUCAGAUAUGAAAAUUAAAAUUGCAGCAUAAACGCAGCUUAACUGUAGAUCUUGAUUCGGUUCUUCAAGAAUCAGAUAAUGCAUAUAUUGUUAAAUUAGAGAAAAUAAAUUACUAUUUAUAGCUAACACGAGAAAACUGCUCAAUACAGGCAAAAUAAGAUGCAAUGAAUGUUCAACCUGCAUUCAUGAAAUAAAAUGGUCUUGUUUCGAUAGUGUGCUAAAUAACACCAUAUGCAAACAUUCACACAUCGUUUGCAGAAAAAACAUCAGAAAGUGAAAUAAUAGAACUACCUCAAAUACUUAUUCAGCUGUUAUUAAUGAUUUGCACCUCCUGGCCAUCAUGGUGCAUGCCACAGUGUCAUUGCGCGUAGCCUCUUCGAAAAAGAAAAGUCCGAGAGUAAACGUGAAUCCACGCCAGACUGUAUCUUUCGGUCAAAGGAGUGAAAUCCCUUGGAAUAUACGAGGGUUUUCCGUGUCCCAAAUGUGACAUUACGGGUGUUGACUGUUUCACUUAAAUGGAAAUGUGCUUCAUCGCUCCAUAGAAUCUGCCCUAGCCACGAUGCAUCCACUUCAACUCUAAACAGAAAUGGCAGUGCAAAGGUCAGUCGCUUCUCCCUGUCGAUGAGCAGCAACUGCUGAUUGUAAAGAAAUUUGUACGGGUGAAAAUGUGCCAUUUUUCUUAGUACGCUCCGCAAUGCACAGAAGGGAAAACACGCAAGUGCCAUGACACUUGCGUGUUUUCGUACGUGCACUGCUACAGCCUACAACAUUAUCCAUUGAUUCUUCUACAAUAGCCGUGGCAAUAUCUUCAACAACAUCUCAACGAGUAGAUUUGCGUCCUCGACCUGGCUGAAUUCUAAGAUCUCCAGUUUUCUCGAACCGAGCAAUCAUUAUCCUGAGAGUUUGUGGAAGUAAUAGUGUUUUUGCAUAAAUUCUUAAAUCGACGAAACUGUCGAAGUGUAGCUGCAGCAUUUCCUUUAUUUUCAUAAAACAACUUCACAAGCAAGGCGCGUUCUGGCAACGUGACAGCCAUCGCUGAUGAGAAUGACGUCUCCCCAGUUUUAUCCCCUUUUAUGCCCAGAAUAGUAGCUGUAAACGAAAGGUUUAUGCAAAUUUUUGUGCUUAUAAUGCGAAAUUGCAGUUACAAUUGCAGUUUGCUUCUUCACUUUUAAACAAUCUUUUUUACAUAUCAGUAAUAGAAAUUAAAAAGGAAAAAUUCCAUACCACAUGCGUUUAUUUUUUUGUGAUAAUUUGUGUCUUUUCAGCUUAUUUUCUGUUGUGCAUCGCCAUCUAUCGGUAUUUCUGAAACUAACUUUUUUUUCUCUUAACUCGUUUCGCCAUGCCUUAAAAAGUAUGUACAACAAUUUUGAAACCUUUACACUGAGUAGUUCGCCGUAUACAGAGCUCAGAGUAGGGGGACUUUAAUUUUGACCACCUUGCAUUGUUUUAAUCCUUCUGUAAAAUUUAAAUUUUUACUACUUACGAAAGCACACUCUGUUUUUGUUACU